GUGAGCUAGCUCCAACAUCUUUUCUACAAAAGUCUUUGUCCUUUGUAACACUACCUAGUACAUAAUCACAUGGUCCAGUUGUGACUCCUCAGCCUUAGCCCAUUAACAGAAAUUCGUAAGAAGGUAAUGGCUGUGUGAAUAAAUGAGAAUUGUAGCCAAAUAGGCUGCCGGGGGUAGUUAUAAAUGUAAGAAUGUUCUUGUUGGGAGAAAUAAAUGUCAUCACAUUUUUUAUUGUACUGGUACAGACGUCGAGGUGUGUUGGUGGUUUGUCCAAUAUCUCGUAACUGGUCAGUGCCAGGGUGGAGAUGGAACCAGACCAUCCUUCCAUUCGCUUCCCUGCUGUGUCAGGCAGGGAUGGACUGGCCGUUAUUCCACAGAGUCCCGUGGCAUAGAUGCCAACAGUAAGGAUUUGUCUAUCAGGUUGGUUUAUCUGGGAAAAUUUUAAAAAUUCUGCUUUUCUUUCCUUUCCCCAGCCUCAUUAUUAAGUAGAUGCCGGAUGGUGAAUUGCAGAUUGCAUUUCAAUUUGUCCAUUCGCUCCGAAAUUUUAUGACCUUGGUUUCACAUCCACAGGGAAAAAUGUUUCCAAAGAAGCUUGAAAAUCAUUGAAGAGAUUGAAUGUGCCUCCAGUAGCCCCCUGGGCUACAUCUAGAGGGCACUGUUGAAGACGCUGUGCUGUCUUACUCUCUGCCUCCCAUGGAUUUUUCAUCCCGUGGGAUAAGCAAAGAACACAGUAGCCGUAACAUCACGCAGGAUAAAAGAGCCACAACGAGAGACUAACAAGGGUAAUUUGCUAUGGGACACUUGACACAGCAGGAAAUGGGGGGAGCAGAAAGCGUAAGAACAGCUGGAACACCUGGAGAAAUACUAUACUUGCACCAGACUGUGGAUUCAACAUCUUCAUUUCGUUUGCUACCUGGACUUCUGAGAGCUGCUGGAAAAAAAUCACCACCCCUAGGUGGACUGAUGCCAUGACAAAUCAUGGUUUCCAGAAUCGCCUGGACUUCCUUUGAACCCAGUUUCCCUGCAUCAGAGAAAACUCUUUCCCUUCCUGCAGUGGCUAUUCUAAAGUUUCGACGCAAUCCUCACAUCCUUUGUCUUCCUCACAUCUCAUCUGCUUUUAGCAAAUGGCCUCACUAUGAAAAUCAUGACUGUCAGCUAUAAACCACCUUUAUUUCCAGCCCACACACUGACAAGGUCUUUAUACAUGCAAAUGCUUCAGUCUCUUUUCCUGCAGUCCAAGAAGAUGA